CCGGUAAACGGCGGCCGUAACUAUAACGGUCCUAAGGUAGCGAAAUUCCUUGUCGGGUAAGUUCCGACCUGCACGAAUGGCGUAAUGAUGGCCAGGCUGUCUCCACCCGAGACUCAGUGAAAUUGAACUCGCUGUGAAGAUGCAGUGUACCCGCGGCAAGACGGAAAGACCCCGUGAACCUUUACUAUAGCUUGACACUGAACAUUGAGCCUUGAUGUGUAGGAUAGGUGGGAGGCUUUGAAGUGUGGACGCCAGUCUGCAUGGAGCCGACCUUGAAAUACCACCCUUUAAUGUUUGAUGUUCUAACGUUGGCCCGUUAUCCGGGUUGCGGACAGUGUCUGGUGGGUAGUUUGACUGGGGCGGUCUCCUCCUAAAGAGUAACGGAGGAGCACGAAGGUUGGCUAAUCCUGGUCGGACAUCAGGAGGUUAGUGCAAUGGCAUAAGCCAGCUUGACUGCGAGCGUGACGGCGCGAGCAGGUGCGAAAGCAGGUCAUAGUGAUCCGGUGGUUCUGAAUGGAAGGGCCAUCGCUCAACGGAUAAAAGGUACUCCGGGGAUAACAGGCUGAUACCGCCCAAGAGUUCAUAUCGACGGCGGUGUUUGGCACCUCGAUGUCGGCUCAUCACAUCCUGGGGCUGAAGUAGGUCCCAAGGGUAUGGCUGUUCGCCAUUUAAAGUGGUACGCGAGCUGGGUUUAGAACGUCGUGAGACAGUUCGGUCCCUAUCUGCCGUGGGCGCUGGAGAACUGAGGGGGGCUGCUCCUAGUACGAGAGGACCGGAGUGGACGCAUCACUGGUGUUCGGGUUGUCAUGCCAAUGGCACUGCCCGGUAGCUAAAUGCGGAAGAGAUAAGUGCUGAAAGCAUCUAAGCACGAAACUUGCCCCGAGAUGAGUUCUCCCUGACUCCCUGAGAGUCCUGAAGGAACGUUGAAGACGACGACGUUGAUAGGCCGGGUGUGUAAGCGCAGCGAUGCGUUGAGCUAACCGGUACUAAUGAACCGUGAGGCUUAACCUUACAACGCC
rnacentral:rRNA from 1 species